CAUUGUAAUUUAGCCAACCUGGUCAGGUGCGGAAGCAAGCAGCCACAACUAAAGAAACAAGU
rnacentral:SRP_RNA from 1 species